rnacentral:rRNA from 1 species
GACGAACGCUGGCGGCGUGCCUAAUACAUGCAAGUCGAGCGGACGGAUGGGAGCUUGCUCCCAGCCCGUCAGCGGCGGACGGGUGAGUAACACGUGGGCAACCUGCCUGUAAGACUGGGAUAACUCCGGGAAACCGGGGCUAAUCCCGGAUAACUCUUUCCCUCCCAUGGGGGAAAGCUGAAAGUUGGCAUCUCCCUAUACCUUCAAGCUGGGCCCGCGGGGCUUUAGCUAGUUGGUGGGGUAACGGCUCACCAAGGCGACGAUGCGUAGCCGACCUGAGAGGGUGAUCGGCCACACUGGGACUGAGACACGGCCCAGACUCCUACGGGAGGCAGCAGUAGGGAAUCUUCCGCAAUGGACGAAAGUCUGACGGAGCAACGCCGCGUGAGUGAUGAAGGUUUUCGGAUCGUAAAACUCUGUUGUCAGGGAAGAACAAGUACCGGAGUAACUGCCGGUACCUUGACGGUACCUGACCAGAAAGCCACGGCUAACUACGUG